rnacentral:rRNA from 1 species
AUACGAAGGUCCCAAGCGUUAUUCGGAAUCACUGGGCGUAAAGAGUACGUAGGCGGUUUGGUAAGUCAGGUGUGAAAUCCCGAAGCUCAACUUCGGAACUGCAUCCGAUACUGCCAGACUUGAGUAAUGGAGAGGCAGGUGGAAUUCUCGGCGUAGCAGUGAAAUGCCUGGAUAUCGAGAGGAAGACCAAUGGCGAAGGCAGCCUGCUGGACAUUUACUGACGCUGAGGUACGAAGGCUAGGGGAGUGAAAGGGAUUAGAUACCCCGGUAGUCC